UACGUAGGGUGCAAGCGUUAAUCGGAAUUACUGGGCGUAAAGCGUGCGCAGGCGGUUUUGUAAGUCUGUCGUGAAAUCCCCGGGCUCAACCUGGGAAUUGCGAUGGAGACUGCAAGGCUAGAAUCUGGCAGAGGGGGGGGUAGAAUUCCACGUGUAGCAGUGAAAUGCGUAGAGAUGUGGAGGAACACCGAUGGCGAAGGCAGCCCCCUGGGUCAAGAUUGACGCUCAUGCACGAAAGGCGUGGGGAG
rnacentral:rRNA from 1 species